rnacentral:rRNA from 1 species
AACGAACGCUGGCGGCACGUUUUAAGCAUGCAAGUCGAAUGGCAGCAGGGGGCAACUCUGUGAGAAUGGCGAACGGGUGAGUAACACGUAGGUGAUCUGCCUUGAGGAUGGGGAUAGCCUGUGGAAACACAGGGUAAUACCGAAUGAGCUGACGAGACUUUGGUUUUGUUAGUAAAGGUGCUACGGCACCGCCUUGAGAGGAGCCUGCGGCUGAUUAGCUAGUUGGUGGGGUAAGAGCUUACCAAGGCGACGAUCAGUAGCCGGCCUGAGAGGGUGUACGGCCACACUGGAACUGAGACACGGUCCAGACUCCUACGGGAGGCAGCAGCUAAGAAUCUUCCGCAAUGGGCGAAAGCCUGACGGAGCGAUGCCGCGUGAUCGAUGAAGGUCGAGAGAUUGUAAAGAUCUUUUCUACAUGAGGAAUAAGUCUGGGAGGGAAUGCCCGGAUGAUGACGUUAGUGUAGGAAUAAGCACCGGCUAACUCUGUGCCAGCCGCCGCGGUAA